rnacentral:misc_RNA from 1 species
AACGUAGGAGGCAAGCGUUAUCAGGAUUUACUGGGCGUAAAGCGCCUGCAGGCGGAAGCCAAAGUCGGACGUGAAAGCUCCUGGCUCAACUAGGAGAGGCCGUUCGAAACUGGGCAUCUGGAGGCUGGUAGAGGAGAGUGGAAUUCCCGGUGUAGUGGUGAAAUGCGUAGAUAUCGGGAGGAACACCAGUGGCGAAAGCGGCUCUCUGGGCCAGUCCUGACGCUCAGAUGCGAAAGCUAGGGUAGCAAACGGG